UUCAUUGAAUAUCAGAUUCUGCGGUGCUACAUCAUUGACCACUUAAACACAGAACACAAGAUUUGAUUUAAAAAGAUAAACAUAUAUGUAUUUUAAAAAAGCAGAAACGCAAUGAGGAAAGAGCAGUCUCAAAGAAUGCCAAGAAAUAUUUUCCAGAGAACACCUACCUGAAUUUUGAAUGCAGAAUAGAAGCUUGCUAAAUGGAACAAGUCAAUUGAUUCUAAUAUCAAGAUUAGCAAAGCCAAAGAGAUGUGAAACAAUUUGCUGAAGAUGAGGUCAUCUGGUAAAAAUGAACAAGCAGCAAGAUGAGGAGGACUGAGGACAUGGAAAUCACAGAGGCUGAGAGGGCUGGACUGGAUGUGAGCAGGAAGGGCCAUUCUCCAGAAAAGUCUUGAAGAAUCUUAUUGAAGGCCCAAUGUGAAAAGCCUGAAUUUGAAAUAGUCCCAAUUCCAAUAAAGGUAUAUUAUUCCUCCUA